rnacentral:rRNA from 1 species
AGACGAGAGUAGCUUGCUACGAACUGUUUUAGCGGCGGACGGGUGAGUAACGCGUGAGCAACCUUUCCCAGACAGGGGAAUAACACACCGAAAGGUGUACUAAUACCGCAUAAGACCACGGUUUCACAUGGAACUGAGGUAAAAGAUUUAUCGGUUUGGGGUGGGCUCGCGUCCGAUUAGGUAGUAGGUGAGGUAACGGCCCACCAAGCCGACGAUCGGUAGCCGACCUGAGAGGGUGAUCGGCCACAUUGGGACUGAGACACGGCCCAAACUCCUACGGGAGGCAGCAGUGGGGAAUAUUGGGCAAUGGAGGAAACUCUGACCCAGCAACGCCGCGUGGAGGAAGAAGGUUUUCGGAUCGUAAACUCCUGUCCUUGGAGACGAGUAGAAGACGGUAUCCAAGGAGGAAGCCCCGGCUAACUACGUGCCAGCAGCCGCGGUAAUACGUAGGGGGCAAGCGUUGUCCGGAAUAAUUGGGCGUAAAGGGCGCGUAGGCGGCUCGGUAAGUCUGGAGUGAAAGUCCUGCUUUUAAGGUGGGAAUUGCUUUGGAUACUGUCGGGCUUGAGUGCAGGAGAGGUUAGUGGAAUUCCCAGUGUAGCGGUGAAAUGCGUAGAGAUUGGGAGGAACACCAGUGGCGAAGGCGACUAACUGGACUGUAACUGACGCUGAGGCGCGAAAGUGUGGGGAGCAAACAGGAUUAGAUACCCUGGUAGUCCACACUGUAAACGAUGAAUGCU